rnacentral:rRNA from 1 species
UUCUCCCUGGGGAAAACGGGUGGUAAUGCCGGAUGCUCCGACUCCUCGCAUGGGGUGUCGGGAAAGAUUCUAUCGGUAUGGGAUGGGGUCGCGUCCUAUCAGGUAGUCGGCGGGGUAACGGCCCACCGAGCCUACGACGGGUAGCCGGCCUGAGAGGGCGACCGGCCACAUUGGGACUGAGAUACGGCCCAGACUCCUACGGGAGGCAGCAGUGGGGAAUAUUGCACAAUGGGCGCAAGCCUGAUGCAGCGACGCCGCGUGCGGGAUGACGGCCUUCGGGUUGUAAACCGCUUUUGAUCGGGAGCAAGCCUUCGGGUGAGUGUACCUUUCGAAUAAGCACCGGCUAACUACGUGCCAGCAGCCGCGGUAAUACGUAGGGUGCAAGCGUUAUCCGGAAUUAUUGGGCGUAAAGGGCUCGUAGGCGGUUCGUCGCGUCCGGUGUGAAAGUCCAUCGCUUAACGGUGGAUCUGCGCCGGGUACGGGCGGGCUGGAGUGCGGUAGGGGAGACUGGAAUUCCCGGUGUAACGGUGGAAUGUGUAGAUAUCGGAAAAAAAACACC